rnacentral:piRNA from 1 species
GAGUUUGUACUGAAUCAUGAUCAAU